rnacentral:sRNA from 1 species
GAAUUCUGAAUCCCUGAGAACUAGAUCUGUCUUGCCGGUAUAAGACCAGAGAGGGUAAGGAAGGACUCUGGGUACAAAGUCAAACCAGCCCUGCUGUUUCUGUGGCUGCCAGUCUGGAGCAGAGGCUGUUGGACAUGUGUUACACCUGGCCCUGCCGCUGACCCCGGGAGUGCCCGCCACCAUGUGAGCAGGAUUGCUGGUUCCUGGAGACCAGGAAAAAUAGCUCGGGGAAACAGCCACUUUCGGUAGGGACAAAAUCAAUUCCUCUCAAAUGACAGAAAAGCAACAGGCUCAAAGCACUGAACUUGGUGUACACAAGACGAAGAAGUUGGAGCACAGUGACAGAGAAUGACAAAUGACAGGGUAGGAACACAAAGCUCUUAAGCGCGGCAGUCUGCAGCCAUUUAGCUCUGGCCUGCAGCCCUGCGUGCGCAACCCAGACACUGCUGAGGGCACGGCUGGAUUGUUGCACUGCAAGAUGAUGGAUGUUCAAAGUGAGUUAUGAAGAAAAGGUCAAAUUGUGUUCGGAACAUUCUGUUUAAGAAGGGCAAAGCACUCCAUAAAGCAUCUUAGAGAAAUUACUUUUCAAAAUAGAGAUGUUAGAUUGGCAAGUUUAGACUGCGUUGUUCUGGCUUUUAAUGCCAUCUCUACUUAAAAUAUGUGAUUUACUUCAGGUUACAAUGUUAAAAAUCUCACCCAAAGAUAAUUGGGGUUUUUUCCCUUCAUGUUCUUUCUGAUGUAUGAACUAUGCACACAUCGGCUAUGCCCAUUUACAUACAUAUAUUUGUGUGUUGUUUAAAAGAUGUUUCCUCUG